rnacentral:lncRNA from 1 species
GAAGAGAUAAAGGCUGGUCCCCAGCAACAUCUCUGUGGUCCCUACAGACACAGCAGCCCCUGUUCCUCGCCUGACUACCGCGAUGCACCUCAGAUGCAUGCCUGCCACGGGUCUGGACAAGUUCAGCCAAGACCAUCUCCUGCUAGACUGUGCUUUCUGCAGAGACAUCAAGCAUGCCAUCAAACUCAUCUGCGACUUCCUGGGGGAGAGGUGCUUUUUUCCAGGUCUCCCUCUCCCUGUGCGGGUGUCCACGGCGGUGGCAGUGAGCUCACACCAGGCCCCAGCUCUCAAAGCUUCCACCAGCUCUCAGCAGGGCCACCCUGGGGACCAAGCCUUUACACAUGGCCCUCGGGCAACAUUCAGGAGCCAAACUGUAGUCCCCAGGGUUCAGACAGCUCUGCCCUACCAGUAUUGGGGCUGCUGGUUCAAGGACAAAAUCGUGAGAUUUGGAGAGAGAGGAGCAGUGCCCAAGGAUGAUGGAAAUGACUGUGCGAAAUUCAGAGCCCCUGCGCAGGGACAUCUCUGAGUCCCUAGGAAGGAAUCUGCUGGGAGCGAUGCGCUGUAGAUCACUAUGGCCAGGCCUAAUUCACCUCCUCCCUCGGACGAGGCAGGGCCCGGUGGAGAACGGACAACAAGAGGGCAUAGUGGAGUGGCUGGGCGUGGUGGAGCAAGGCCUGGCCAGAAGAGGACUGUCUUCCUUCCCAGACAUUCACCAGAGAAACAUCAAGCAUUAGCUCCUGCAGACCUAGCCAUUCUCCCUGUUCCAAUCCGGCAUCCCCUUUCAGUUUCCAUAUCUACACUAUAAAGAAAGGCGCUGAGGAUGCAAGCCAAUGUUUGUCUCAUCAGGAUAAAGAGUUUCCACCUGGCCUCAGCUUUGUAAACCUUACUGUUCUUUGUUGUAUUCUUUGUCUUGUUCUUUAAGUUUCUUAAUCUCUCACCUUCAUCGUUUCUUACUCAUGAACCCUUCAGACAAGCAGGCCGAGGCAGAAAUCCAUUCUGGGCUCCUCCCGACUAAGGAAACAAAACCAGCUGUGGAGGGUAAGUGUUUACCCAGCAGAGAGGGC